UACGUAGGGCGCAAGCGUUGUCCGGAAUUAUUGGGCGUAAAGAGCUCGUAGGCGGUUUGUCGCGUCUGCUGUGAAAACUCGAGGCUCAACCUCGGGCUUGCAGUGGGUACGGGCAGACUAGAGUGCGGUAGGGGGUGACUGGAAUUCCUGGGUGUAGCGGUGGAUGCGCAGAUAUCAGGAGGAACACCGAUGGCGAAGGCAGGUCACUGGGCCGCAACUGACG
rnacentral:rRNA from 1 species